AAGGGAGGUGCGCUACCAAUUAGAAGGAAAAGACUGCUAACUCUUUAAGAUCAGUGAAGAAGUGGUAGUCGAUGCUACAGAUAAAGGAAACAUUGCCCGCCUAAUCAACCACUCAUGUGCCCCCAAUUGCUAUGCGAGGAUCAUGAGUGUGGGUGACGAUGAGAGCAGGAUUGUUCUUAUUGCUAAGACCAAUGUCGCUGCUGGCGAUGAGCUAACGUAUGACUACUUGUUUGAUCCCGAUGAGCCGGACGAAUGCAAGGUCCCCUGUUUGUGUAAAGCUCCAAACUGCAGAAAAUUCAUGAAUUAGGUAUUUACAUUCACACACACAACACUCCAUUGUUUCUCCGCAAGGAACGCUAACCUCCUAUCAUCGCCUUCUCCGAAGGAGUUAAUACACAGUCGUCUUGCUAAUUCUGCUUUCUUCUUUCUUCUUUCUUUUUCCUCUCUACAAUGAGCCUGUAUUUUAUCUUUCAUUUUGUUCUCAUAAUCUUUCAAGCUUUAAUAAAAGCUAUAGAUUGGUCUCCAGGCAUUUGUGUAUAUAUUGAUUUCAACAUCCUUCUCAAUAUAUUAACCUCAUUUUCUAUUUUCUUA